UGUCAGAAUUGGAGUUAGGGAAUACAGGGGAAAAAUUAGGGUUUCUAUGGCUGGGACUCUUAUCAAGUGUAGGGUUUGAGCCCCUGGCCACCACACGGAAACUUCCUGCAGCAGAGAAAUGUCACAAAUGAUGGAGCAGCAUCUCUCUGUUUCUCACCCUUUAUGUGGAAGGGAGAGAAAAGGCACAAAAAAAAAAAAAAAAAACAGUGAAGGGUGAGGGUAUAGAAUAAUGGUCAUGCAAAGAGACUCUCAUGCCUGUGGCUCCAUAAUUCCAGGUUCAAUCCCCUACACCACCAUAAACCAGAACUGAGCUGUGCUCUGGUAACAAUACAAAAUAAAAGUAAAAAAAAAAAACACCACUAGUGAAGCCCUCUUGACCAAAAAAAAAAAAAAAAAGUGUCUGACUAAUGGAA